rnacentral:rRNA from 1 species
AACGAACGCUGGCGGCAUGCCUAACACAUGCAAGUCGAACGAGACCUUCGGGUCUAGUGGCGCAUGGGUGCGUCACGCGUGGGAACCUUCCCUUAUGUUCGGAAUAACUCCCCGACAGGGGUGCUAAUACCGGAUAAUUUCUUCUGACCAAAGAUUUAUCGCCUUUGGAUGGGCCCGCGUUGGAUUAGCUAGUUGGUAGGGUAAAAGCCUACCAAGGCGACGAUCCAUAGCUGGUCUGAGAGGAUGAUCAGCCACACUGAGACAGAGACACGGCCCAGACUCCUACGAGAGGGAGCAGGGGGGAAUAUUGGACAAUGGGCGAGAGACUGAGCCAGCAAUGCCGCGUGAGUGAUGAAGGCCUUAGGAUUGUAAAGCUCUUUUACCCGGGAUGAUAAUAACAGUACCGAGAGAAUAAGCUCGGGCUAACUCGGU